AGUGAACGCUGGCGGUAGGCCUAACACAUGCAAGUCGAACGGCAGCACAGUAAGAGCUUGCUCUUACGGGUGGCGAGUGGCGGACGGGUGAGGAAUACAUCGGAAUCUACUUUUUCGUGGGGGAUAACGUAGGGAAACUUACGCUAAUACCGCAUACGACCUACGGGUGAAAGCAGGGGAUCUUCGGACCUUGCGCGAUUGAAUGAGCCGCUGUUGGAUUAGCUAGUUGGCGGGGUAAAGGCCCACCAAGUCGACGAUCCGUAGCUGGUCUGAGAGGCUGGUCAGCCACACUGGAACUGAGACACGGUCCAUACUCCUACGGGAGGCAGCAGUGGGGAAUAUUGGACAAUGGGCGCAAGCCUGAUCCAGCCAUACCGCGUGGGUGAAGAAGGCCUUCGGGUUGUAAAGCCCUUUUGUUGGGAAAGAAAAGCAGCAGGUUAAUACCCCGCUGUUCUGACGGUACCCAAAGAAUAAGCACCGGCUAACUUCGUG
rnacentral:rRNA from 1 species